GAACUCUGGAGAACCCCGAAAGGGUGCCGAAGGUGCAACGUACAUUACAAAUGUGCGGAAUCUCUCAGGCAAAAAGACAGAGUUGU
rnacentral:ncRNA from 1 species